rnacentral:rRNA from 1 species
GAUGUGAAAGCCCCCGGCUCAACCGGGGAGGGUCAUUGGAAACUGGGGAACUUGAGUGCAGAAGAGGAGAGUGGAAUUCCACGUGUAGCGGUGAAAUGCGUAGAGAUGUGGAGGAACACCAGUGGCGAAGGCGACUCUCUGGUCUGUAACUGACGCUGAGGAGCGAAAGCGUGGGGAGCGAACAGGAUUAGAUACCCUGGUAGUCCACGCCGUAAACGAUGAGUGCUAAGUGUUAGGGGGUUUCCGCCCCUUAGUGCUGCAGCUAAGGCAUUAAGCACUCCGCCUGGGGAGUACGGUCGCAAGACUGAAACUCAAAGGAAUUGACGGGGGCCCGCACAAGCGGUGGAGCAUGUGGUUUAAUUCGAAGCAACGCGAAGAACCUUACCAGGUCUUGACAUCCUCUGACAAUCCUAGAGAUAGGACGUCCCCUUCGGGGGUAGAGUGACAGGUGGUGCAUGGUUGUCGUCAGCUCGUGUCGUGAGAUGUUGGGUUAAGUCCCGCAACGAGCGCAACCCUUGAUCUUAGUUGCCAGCAUUCAGUUGGGCACUCUAAGGUGACUGCCGGUGACAAACCGGAGGAAGGUGGGGAUGACGUCAAAUCAUCAUGCCCCUUAUGACCUGGGCUACACACGUGCUACAAUGGACAGAACAAAGGGCAGCGAAACCGCGAGGUUAAGCCAACCCCACAAAU